ACUCCUACGGGAGGCAGCAGUGGGGAAUAUUGCACAAUGGGGAAACCCUGAUGCAGCCAUGCCGCGUGUGUGAAGAAGGCCUCGGUUGUAAAGCACUUUCAGUAGGGAGGAAGGUAGUGUAGUUAACACCUGCAUUAUUUGUACGUUACCUACAGAAGAAGCACCGGCUAACUCCGUGCCAGCAGCCGCGGUAAUACGGAGGGUGCGAGCGUUAAUCGGAAUUACUGGGCGUAAAGCGCAUGCAGGCGGCCUGUUAAGUCAGAUGUGAAAGCCCGGGGGCUUAACCUCGGAAUUGCAUUUGAAACUGGCAGGCUAGAGUCUUGUAGAGGGGGUAGAAUUUCAGGUGUAGCGGUGAAAUGCGUAGAGAUCUGAAGG
rnacentral:rRNA from 1 species